rnacentral:lncRNA from 1 species
AUGGGGCGUCCUUACUCCCAGUCUUUCCAGAUGUUCUUCCCACUCCUCAACUGCUCCUGGCUCAGAAACCCUGCACACCUGGAAGAAAGUGAGAACCAGUUUUUCAACAAACACAUUGCACAGACUUAUUGUGAACCCCGGGUGGAAUCAAGCAUCGGAGGAAGAGAACGUGGGUCUUGCUGUGUCCCCUAGGCUGGAGUGCAGUGGUGCAGUCUCAAUUAUGCCAGAUGGCUCUGAGGUCCAAGUAAAAGAUAAUAUUUGCAACCAACUCACUGGAGUUGACCAUCAAAACUCUUUUCCAGGUGGAAAAGCACCCUGAAUCCAGCUUCCUGCUAUGAAUGAAUACUGAGCUUGGGUUGGUGGAAAUUGAUUUUCGAGAUAAAGAAUCCAGCCAGGACUGUGAAGCCCCAGGGAAUGGCUGCACUUGAAGUCAGAAGGAGCCUGGGUCCCUGAAUCAUCAUGUGGAAGGCUCUCCACCCAGUUCAAUGGUGCAAUGGACCACAAGCAGGAACUUAAUUUAGAAUGUGCUUAUUUUAUUAGAUUUUGUAAUUAAAAAAUGGAUCCCACUCUGACUGAA